GGAUAGAACUCUCCCCUCGGGGAGAGGGCGGGCCGUAUCCCACACCCUUUGUGAACCACAACUCUGUUGCUUCGGGGGCGACCCUGCCGUCAGGCGGCGGUGCCCCCGGUGGCCUUCAACUAAACUCUGCAUCUUUUGCGUCGGAGUCUUUUAAAGAAUUAAACAAAACUUUCAACAACGGAUCUCUUGGUUCUGGCAUCGAUGAAGAACGCAGCGAAAUGCGAUAAGUAAUGUGAAUUGCAGAAUUCAGUGAAUCAUCGAAUCUUUGAACGCACAUUGCGCCCCGUGGUAUUCCGCGGGGCAUGCCUGUUCGAGCGUCAUUUCACCACUCAAGCCUAGCUUGGUAUUGGGCGCCGCGGCGAUCUCCAUCGCUGCGCGCCUUAAAGUCUCCGGCUGAGCAGUCUGUCUCCGAGCGUUGUGACACAUGUCGCUAGGGAGUGCAGGUCUGCCGCGGCCGUUAAAUCUUUAUCAAAGG
rnacentral:sRNA from 1 species